UACUGCGCCUGCGCGUUGGGUUUCGCGGGACGAGUGGGCGGAUGCCCGGUGGGCUAUCGCGUGUGGGGUGGAGGGUGACGGCAGAAUGUUACAUUUCCAAGAGCGCAUGCGCGUUGGGUCUCUGAGGCGAGCUCAGAGGCAAGGAGCAACUUCUGACGUGGUGGCUUUGGAAGAUGCCCCUUCCAUGCCAACAGGAUACCUGAUUCUGAUGAGGAAAAGAAGGAAGAAGACUAGGGAAAACAUGUUCUGCAAGAUCCUGUCAGCCAGUGCUGCAUCGAACUGUGAACAAAGGGCUUGGACAACCAAUAUGACUGGGAACAUGGAGAGAAAAAGAGAGGAGAGGCAACAAGUCAGAGUCCCAGCAAGACAAAUAGUGGGAAAUGCAUUAUGAGUCUUCUCAGACAGCAAACUCAAAUAUUGCAGACCCUUGUUGUCGUACUGGUCCAAGAAACCAAGACUCACAGCCUUUGCACUCUGGAGAGCUUGAUGGUUGCUGAUCCUUAUACCCCACAACAUACCGCAUUGCAUUGUAGACUGCAUCCUUACCCCUACAACUCCAUGCUGGCGGACAACAAGGAAGACCACAGCUCCGCAUACACUGGCCUGUGGAACCCUCAGAUUAGUGUAUGUAUAGCCACAACAGAUUACGUUGAACUAUCAUUUUGUUUACACAAAUGGACAUAAAUGUUUACUUCCUUUUCAAUAGGAAUUUUUAAGUGUCACCCUGUUAAGUUGUUAGAAGUUUGUAUGACAUAUGUCGUUGUUUGCACUUCAAUUUUUGUGCACUGAAUUUUUGUACUCAAAGUUCUAUUUUUGGAGAAUUAAAAUAUCUUUAUUAGUUCACAAAAAAUAUUGCAGAGUGCAUAGUGGCAGUCAAGAAAUCAAACAGUACUUAUAAAUUUACACCAAGCACCACAGAAUCCAUAUCAUCAUGACCUGACAAAGCCAUAUUUAUAAAUGUACAGCAAGCUCCACACAAUUUAGAGUGGCAGGCAAAGACCCAGGGCCAGUACUAUUUGUAAUUUGCAGCAGGUGCUACAGAACAGAUAUCACCAGGCAAAAACCAAAUAAUACAUAAUCUUAAUUACACAAGAGAGACAACGUCUCAAGACAGAAUACUGUUGUGCCAGUCUGUUAAAAUGAACCUUUACGCAUCCCUCAAAUGCAUAGCUCCACAGCGGGCUCUUGGAAUAGCCCUAGUGUCGGGCUGUUCAGAUUCUGUAGACAACUGCUCCAGCUUGCCCCUGGUGGCAGCUUUUGCCUCAGAUAUUAUGCAGUACACAACAUGCAACUAUAACCAUGGGGAUGCUUUUCUCACUGAGAUCUAAUCUAGUGAGCAAACACUGCCAGCAACUUUUCGUCCUAUCAAAAGUACGUUCCACAGUCAUUCUGCACCUACUAAGCCAGUAGUUGAAUCUUUUCUUGGCACUAUCCAGAUGACCAGUGUAUGCCUUCUUAAGCUACGGGGGCAAGGUGUAGGCUAGGUCCCC